rnacentral:lncRNA from 1 species
AAUUAUUGCAAAUGUAACUAUUUUACAUUUUAUUUUUUUUAACGAAAACUUUUGCAUUUCAUUUAAAAAUAAUUUUAAUAAAUCGAUUGUUAUUAAAAUCUACAUAAAGUUUUAACAGAACUAUUUUAAAUGAAUGUAAGACAUUGAGGGUCCCUUGGAAGUUUGCAGUUUAUUUCAGCUGUUUACACACAUUUUCAAAACUUUGCCCUCUUUUUUUUUUCUCGAAACUUUACACACAAAUCCAAGAAUUGCACACACAAAAUGCAAAAUGCCUCUCAUCUCUUACAAAAUGAAGCACUGCAUUCAAAAUAUCAUAAACAUAUCUGCUGUUUGAGCUUUCCCGAAAUCGUGUGACAAGUAAAGAUUUUCUGUGUAAGCAGUAACAAAAACCUGUUAUUGAGUUAUAUUUAAAUAUAUUGAUCUUGAUGUUUGUAUUUUGAACAGCGACACAGGUCUUUUUUUUCUCAGUUGUACACUUCCGCCCACUUGUGGUCAGUUACAGUAUUGCUGGACCUUUGUAAAUUCUGUUUUGAAUGAAUUUUCCGUGAUUUCACGCAUUUAAUGCACAAGAAAUAAGAGUAGUCACAACAGUGAAAGUUCCCACGAAGAAACGCAACACAGAGAUCAGAAAUAAAUUAUUCUAGCCUUAAAAUGACUUUUAAACCGGGUCAUUUAUACUCAGACGUCCGUGUUUGCAUCAAUAUUCAUCUUAACUCAUCAAAGAAGGUAAUAAAAGUUUUAAGUGAGAUAAAUGUGAGUAUAUUUAUUUGAUUUUCACAGAUCCUUUGAGAAAACACCAGCUGUGCGAAAUGCUUUGUCCCGUUCAUGUCUUUGAAAGUCAAGCGGUCUUGACCGUAAAUAUGGAAAUAUAAUAACUGUUUUUGGCGCCCUCCAGCGGACAUCAUUAGCUACUACAACACACACUACACCAGCAGCAUGGGGCAUCCUCUCGACUCAUAUCCAGACUGACAUUAGUGACGGACCGUCUGCAGGCGCUGUGAAGGGCUCUAUCAUCACUGUGGCCAGCACAGGGGGCAAGGUCAAGCUUUUAGAGCAGUAUCAUGCUCUGUUACAUGGAUUCAUUUCUCACUGUUUUAUUAUAGUGCACAUUUCACAUUUUUACACCACAGGCAGUUAA